rnacentral:lncRNA from 14 species
CCAGGUUUUUCCUGUACAUGGAUGUGGGUAUUCCCCAUUAUUUCCCAGUAAUUUAAUCCUGAGCAUUUCCUUUUCCCUUCAGAUUUCUGCCCUUCUCUGGGCCUUGUCAGUGGUAGAGAGCAGAAUGUGAUCACAUCAGCAGAGUGUCUGAUAAAGCAGUGCAUAUUUAACUCAAACCCGUUCUUACAUACAUGAUUUUCUGCAGAAAGCCCACAUAAAUCAGGUAAAAAGUGAAUGGUGGCUCUGUGCACUUACUGAUGCUGUUUUCUGUUCAUCAGACUUACAGACUAUAACUAAAACCAGUGAAGAAUCAUCUCAUGUGCAUCAAGACAGCAGCAGAAAGCUGGGUGGUACACGUGUAUUGAGCCAGAAGGAUGAUAAAGGUGGACCUGAAGUGUGUCAAGGCCAACCUGAGUUGGACUCCUCCAGCAUUUGCAGUGAUACACAACAGCCAUGCUCUUUUGGGAGACCUGUGUUUGAUAGACACAUGUUGCAUGAGCUUCUAGACCAAGCUGUCCCUGAAGAGGAGCAUCCUUUGCCAAGGGGCUCUAUCCAAGAACAUGAAGGUGCUUUCACUGAGCAGCCACACAGUGAAGAAGAAUAUGAAGAAGAUGUUAUAGAACCACGAACUCUCAAUGAAAUAACAACCAUGACAGACAAAACCAGCCCCUGGUCCAGUGUGCUGUCUGAUGGGGAGCAAGGGGCUGACCUGCAAUCCAUAGACUUGAGGCCUGAGGACCAGUGCUCAGUGGACACUGAUGGUUUCCAAAGAGGGAACAGACAGAGCAGCACCUUCUCCAGCAUGCUCCAAGGUGACAACCAGAGCUUGCUCACCACCCUUAGCUCAUGCAUUAGCCUCUGUGCAGAUGGGAGCAGUACUUGGGCAGCAGCAGAAGGAAUGCAAAGCUUGAAUAGAGGCAUGGAAGCAACUGAGAAGGAGCUGUUUCAGCCUGCUCACUUAUCAGAGCUGCAUCAAACAGCCAGUGGGCCUGGAGGAGAUGGAAACUGUCACUGGGAUAAAGCAUUUAAUGCUAAACCUCUAGAUCAAAAUGUAGAGUUUCCAGCAGCCUCCAAAGAACAACUGGCAUUUCCAGGAGAUGUUGCCCUGACCAACCCAAAAAGCACAGAAAGAAAGGAAGAGGAAAAGGGUGAGGUUGUAAAUGAAGAUCAUCAAGACAAGGAAGAAAGUGGUUCUGAUGAGAUCUGUAUUAAGAGUGUGUCAGCCCAAGCAGGCUCAGAAGGAAAUAGUGAAUGCUUUUCUGAGGACAGUAGUGAAGACCCAUUGGAAGAGUCAGAAAAGGCUGUCAAACCCAAGAUGGUUUUAUCUGAUCCUGUUGUUGUUCCCAACUUCUUCCUUCCACCCCAGCAGAUGGAAGCCACCAUGAGGCUGCUCAGCAUUUCUUCUCGUCCCUCUACAGCUCCAGAAGUAAGUAUGGGACAUCCUCUCCUUCCUUGUCCUAGUUCAGCAGAGUCCAUUCAUUAAAGCAGGAACAAAAGUACCUGUCAGCACUCGGGGUGGAGGUGAUGGCUUCCAAAUCAUGUCAAGGACAAUCUUCCUGAUACCUCUUAGUGAGAAUCAUUUCCAGUGUUCAUGGCUGCAGCAUCUGUGAUGCUUAAGGGUUUACAUAAACCAGUUUGUCUAAAUACUCCGUGGACAUUACUCCUCUGCAGUGGGGUCAGUGAAUGGGGCUGGAGCUCACUCUGCACUUCUUCAGGCUUUAAUGCCAGGUAAGAACUUUGGGAGGAGCCUGUAGGGCCAGGCCAAGGGGAAUGGCUUGAACCUGCCCAAGAGAGGGGAGCCUGAGCUGAGCUCUGAGGCAGAAGCUGUUCCCUGGGAGGGUGCUGAGGCGCUGGCACAGGGUGCCCAGAGAAGCUGUGGCUGCCCCAUCCCUGGCAGUGCUCAAGGCCAGGUUGGACACAGGGGCUUGGAGCAGCUGCUCCAGUGGAAGGGGUCCCUGCCCGUGGCAGGGGUUGGAGCUGGAUGGGCUCUAAGGUCCCUUCCAUCCCAAACCAUUCCAUGAUUCUGUCAUUUCAAGGACACAAUCUGCAACUUGUAACAACUCCAAUUUGUGUCUUUUAGAUCAGGAUGAAAUGAGGGAGUUUGUGGCAAAAGCCUCCCCUUGAGGGGCAUCAAGUAACAUUUCCUCAACAGAAGGGGUAGUAGAAUACUUGGAGUGAUUGUUCCUCAUCCAGGGAAGCUGUUGAUUGCUUUUCCUGUCUUGUCGUUGGUUUGCUGUGCAUCAACAUGUAUUUAGUGCGAGGGGGUUGUGGCUCACUUGUUUUGCAGUCUAUGUAAUAUUCAUUUCCAGCCCCAGCUUUGUGAUGGGUGUUGGUCCAGGUCUGGGCUCUGUUUACUGCUCCCAGAAUACAUGAUGUGUUGGCUCCCCUCCUCAUGACUUACGAAGCACGUGCUUUAAGGAACAUUUAUGUCACUGGGAACAGCUUGCUUGAUUAAAGAGCACAGAAACAAACAGGAUCUAAUAGCUCUGAAGUAAUGGAAACUGGUUUAGAUCAAUAAACACCUUUACAGCUCAGGUGAAAUACCUCA